GCCGGUAUAGCUCAGUUGGUAGAGCAUCUGUCUUGUAAACAGAAGGUCAGGGGUUCGAGCCCCCUUGCCGGCUCCG
rnacentral:tRNA from 1 species